UACGUAGGCAGAAAGCGGUGUUCGGCAUUACUGGGCGAAAAGGGUGCUUAGGCGGAUUGGCGAGUUUGGUGUGCAAUCUCCCGGCUCAACUGGGAGGGUGCGCCGAAAACUGCGAGGCUAGAGUGUGGGAGAGGAGAGUGGAAUUCCUGGUGUAGCGGUGAAAUGCGUAGAUAUCAGGAGGAACACCGGCGGUGUAGACGGCUCUCUGGACCAUUACUGACGCUGAUGCACGAAAGCGUGGGUAGCAAUCAGG
rnacentral:rRNA from 1 species